GGGAGGUUGGAACCAAAAAAACAAGAAAGCCAGCCAAGUGGAGAGAAGUACAUUUUCUACAGAUUGGAAGAAAAAGUUGGCACCAAUUCUUGUGUCCAUGGCCUUUUACUUCUGGCCUAGAGCUGGCAUUUAAUUUGAAUUUUACUAGCACACAAAAUCAAAUGCAGCAACCUGAUUUUCCCAAUUCAGGGUAUUUAAUUUAAAAAAGCUUACAAGUUGAAUAAGUGGCUUUUCAAAAUAUGGCAGAGCUUCUUCUCAUCAAGAUUAGUGAGAGACUGAGCCAAUCUACUAUCCCCACAGAAAUGUCCAAUUAUUUGGGCAGAGGGCAGUCAAGCCUAUGCUGAAUUGUAGACACUGCUGUGUUCCUGCACCUGUUUCAGUUAUCAGAGUCUCCUAAAAAGCUUCACAACCUACCACUGUCCACACAGGCUUUCUGGUUCCCAUGUUGCAAGGCUGAAAAUAGAGUCCGAGAGAGAAGAAGUGAGAAUGGGGCCUCUGAAUGGCAGAGAGACCACGGGAGAACAUCUCCUGGAGCCUAGAGGGAUGAAAGAAGUGUCCUGAGCUACCAGAUAUCCAGUGUCACAGCACCUUGCCUCCAUCACUCACCACAUUGUCCUCUCUUCACACCAACUUUGUAGUAGUACAAAGUAUCGAUGAUGUGGCAAUUAUUUGUCUAGGCAUUUGCCGUGUAUUUACUUAUUUAAUCUCAUAAUAACUGUGAGGUUUCAUGGUUCCCAGAAGUAUUAUUUCCAUUUUAAAAUCUAGGGUAAUCAAGUAGAGAGAAUUUUUUUUUUUUUGGUCUUUUUUUUUUUUUUUUUUUUUGCUAUUUCUUGGGCCGCUCCUGCGGCAUAUGGAGGUUCCCAGGCUAGGAGUCUAAUUGGAGCUGUAGCCACCAGC
rnacentral:lncRNA from 1 species